UUAUAGCAGUUUGGUUUUAAAUUUGACAGUUCUGUUUUCAUAAGUCAAAAAUCUUAACCUUACUUUUACAAGUGAUUAGGAUUAUUAUUAUUUUAUUUACAUGUAAAUUGAAACAAUAAAUAUUGUGCUGUGUCAUAAUUUAAAACUCAUUAUGUUGCAGCCAGUUGAUAAAAUUGCAAUUCAAAAACUUUUAGAUUUGCACUGUAUGGAUGACACAGGAAGAGAACAAGAACAUGAAACAUCUUAUUAUGAAUGUAUAUGUAUGUGAUCCUCAAAAAAUUAUUUUACAAAACAAGAUAGAGAAAGAGCUUUAAAAUCCCAAGGAUCCUGCAAAAUGUUUAUUUGGUGUACUAGUCGAAUAAUAGUAUCUAAAAAUAUUGAAACUAUUUUAAAACACAUUACGGGCAUGAGGAUGAUAUAGAGCACUUACAUAAAUACCAAAA
rnacentral:lncRNA from 1 species